UACGUAGGGGGCAAGCGUUGUCCGGAAUUAUUGGGCGUAAAGCGCGUGUAGGCGGCCAGAUAAGUCCGCUGUGAAAUCUCGAGGCUCAACUUCGAGCUGUCGGUGGAAACUUUCUGGCUAGAGUCCGGAAGAGGAGAAUGGAAUUCCUGGUGUAGCGGUGAAAUGCGCAGAUAUCAGGAAGAACACCCGUGGCGAAGGCGGUUCUCUGGGACGGUACUGACGCUGAGACGCGAAAGCGUGGGGAGCGAACAGG
rnacentral:rRNA from 1 species